rnacentral:tRNA from 1 species
UCCCUAGUGGCUCAGACGGUAAAGUGUCUGCCUGCAACGCGGGAGACCCGGGUUCGAUUCCUGGGUUGGGAA